rnacentral:rRNA from 1 species
GUCUUUUAAGUCUGAUGUGAAAGCCCACGGCUCAACCGUGGAGGGUCAUUGGAAACUGGGAGACUUGAGUACAGAAGAGGAGAGUGGAAUUCCACGUGUAGCGGUGAAAUGCGUAGAUAUGUGGAGGAACACCAGUGGCGAAGGCGACUCUCUGGUCUGUAACUGACGCUGAGGCGCGAAAGCGUGGGGAGCAAACAGGAUUAGAUACCCUGGUAGUCCACGCUGUAAACGAUGAGUGCUAGGUGUUAGGGGUUUCGAUGCCCUUAGUGCCGAAGUUAACACAUUAAGCACUCCGCCUGGGGAGUACGACCGCAAGGUUGAAACUCAAAGGAAUUGACGGGGGCCCGCACAAGCAGUGGAGCAUGUGGUUUAAUUCGAAGCAACGCGAAGAACCUUACCAGGUCUUGACAUCCUUAGACCCCCCCAAAGAUAGGGCUUUCCCCUUCGGGGGACAAAGUGACAGGUGGUGCAUGGUUGUCGUCAGCUCGUGUCGUGAGAUGUUGGGUUAAGUCCCGCAACGAGCGCAACCCUUGAUCUUAGUUGCCAGCAUUUAGUUGGGCACUCUAAGGUGACUGCCGGUGACAAACCGGAGGAAGGUGGGGAUGACGUCAAAUCAUCAUGCCCCUUAUGACCUGGGCUACACACGUGCUACAAUGGAUGGUACAAAGAGCAGCAAAACCGCGAGGUCGAGCCAAUCUCAUAAAGCCAUUCUCAGUUCGGAUUGUAGGCUGCAACUCGCCUACAUGAAGCCGGAA